ACGUGCUAUUAUAUUCAGCAGUCAAGGGCUGCUUUCGCAUUUGUUCAACUUAUAUAUAAGUUCCCUAACUUGCAUGCAGCCCAGAUUUGAGAAAUAAAUGUAUUAAUAAAUAGUUUGACGCCUAUGGAAUACUCUCCAAUGAAAAAUGCAUUCUAACUCAUUGCAGUUUCUUUUUAACAAUCAAUCGAAAAUUGCAUAAUUUUGAACCACGUCUUAACGCUCGUGACGUCAUCAGGCGGUGACUCCGGGUUCUUAUCGGAGUCGCUAGAUGACAGCAGUGAUGUUUUUCUAAAUGCAGCCGGUGUCAACAUACAGCAGAGGUUAUAUUGUUAAAUAUAAAUAAAUAACAGUUUUUACGUGAAGUGAAUUUCUUUGGUGCUGUGAAAAAUGAGAUCGACAAUGGAAGGGAAUUUUGAAACAGCGUCUUCUCAGAAUCUACCAAAAGUGGAUGUUGAAAUGCUCGCAGUUUUUUUAAGAUCAAAUUUGUGUCUGAGUGCGGAAAACAGAGGUGUCAAAGCCGGCAGGAGUCUAUGAUCCGGUGGAUGGCACCACAUGAGGAAGUAUAGGACCCACCUGAUGACGUCAUGAGAGCUUUUGGAGCAUUUGAAAAAAAAAUUAAAAUUUUUUUUAAUUUUUUGAAAAAUCGAUAAUUAAUUGUUCAACGAUUUUUUAAAUGUUUUUUCAUGAAAAAUCUAUUAUUAGGACCAUUAACUAUGUAAAAAAAAUUUUUAAAAAUCAUGCAAGUUCGGGAAAUGACACUAAGUCUAUUCAAAUCAAAGCUGAGGCUACUUCCACGAGUGGAGUUACUGACAAGAGACAAUUUAACUACAAGUUGGUGUAGAUCAAGCAUGGUGUCGAGAUGGAAAUGAGAGGCCGGUGCAGUGCUGGUCAGAGGGUACUCGCCUCUAUCAUUAUUCGAUUGGCUUUGGCUGAAACACUGUCCUAACAAUGUGGAAUCCUCGCCCUCGACGAACCAACGACUAAUUAUGAAGCAAUUUCGUGAGUGAGAUAAAGUAGUGACCGAUUUGAUCGACCCCUUUCAAUGGCGCCACCAGAAACUUCUUGUAAGGUUUCCAUUGGACGGUUGAAGCUGCUCCAUAAGUGUCAGCAAUCUCCCUUAUAAUCUCUGGUACUAUACAUGGGUAAAGUUUACCCAUGUCAACAGGACCGCACCGGUAUCAACAGAAACUUGUUCCUGUUGACAGCGGUAAGACAGAAGUCGUGAUUUUGCCUAACUGAAAAUUAUUUCAGGUACGAAGACUUUGAAGAGAUGAUGUCAAUAGUGUAAAAAUGUCUUUCUUCUUAUUCAAGUUACGAAUGUUGAGACAUAUUGCAUGUCAGAAGAAUUGACACUUGCAUUUUCCAGAAUCGAGGAUAAAACCAUGAGGAUUAGAAGAGGAAGAGAAGUAUAAAUUAUCCAAAAAGACAUAA